rnacentral:lncRNA from 1 species
GGGGGGUCUCCCCUCACAGGAGGAGCAGCAGCAGCAGCAGGGGGGGCAGCACCCAGCCCACCCCCCCUAUGGCGCAGCCCCCGCCCCCUAUGGGCCCCUCCUUCACCCCGUACUUCCGCUCCCAUGAACCCCCGGGGCGCCCCGACCCCGGAUGUGAUCUUUCAGGGUCGACGGCGGCCAUGUUGGAACCGGCAUCGCCCACAUCCGGACGGGAAUCCGCCAUCUUGGGCUCGCUGCCCGCGUCGGGGCGGAUAUCCGCCGCGCCGGGGAGGGCGGCGGUCACGUGAGCGGCCACCUCGGCCCCGCUCCUCUUCCCAUUGGAGCCGCCGGGCGCCGCCAUCUUGCCGGAGUCGGCGGCCGCUUUGCGAUCCGCGGAGGCCGCCAUCUUGGAAUCCGUACGAUUCGCCACGCCGGAAACUACGGUGGCCGCCGUGCCGGAAGCUACGGCUGCCGUCGUACCGGAAGCUACGGCGGCCGUCACGUCGGAGCGACCGGAAGCCGCCGUCUCGUUGCCGUCCGCUCCCGUUUGGGACCCAACGAUCCCGGUUGCAAAAAUCGCCGUGGCAACACGAACCCCGCAGCCCCACGGCGCCGUCGCCUCGAAAAACCUGCGUGCAGUCCGGGUCCCGGGCGCAGCCUCGAACCUCCCGCCACAGCGUCCGGCCGUCUGUGGGGAGAACGGCGGCGUCAGAGCCGUACGGUGGGGGUGGGACCCACAAGUUGGGCGUCAGACCCAUAAGUGGAGCAUUGGGACCCAUAGGUUGAGGGUCAGACCCAUAGGGUGGGGGUGGGACCCAUAAGUUGGGUGUCAGACCCAUAAGUGGAGCAUUGGGACCCGUAAGUGGAGAUUCAGACCCAUAAGUUGAGAGUCAGACCCAUAGGGUGGGGGUGGGACCCAUAAGUUGGGAGUCAGACCCAUAAGUGGAGCAUUGGGACCCAUAGGUUGAGGGUCAGACCCAUAGGGUGGGGGUGGGACCCAUAAGUUGGGAGUCAGACCCAUAAGUGGAGCAUUGGGACCCAUAGGUGGAGCAUCAGACCCAUAGGGUGGGGGUGGGACCCAUAAGUGGAGAUUCAGACCCAUAAGUGGAGAGUCAGACCCAUAGGGUGGGGGUGGGACCCAUAAGUUGAGAGUCAGACCCAUAAGUGGGGCAUUAAGACCCAUAGGUUGAGAGUCAGACCCAUAGGGUGGGGGUGGGACCCAUAAGUUGGGUGUCAGACCCAUAAGUGGAGCGUUGGGACCCAUAAGUGGAGCGUCAGACCCAUAAGUUGAGCAUCAGACCCAUAGGGUGGGGGUGGGACCCAUAAGUUGGGGGUGGGACCCAUAAGUGGAGCGUUGGGACCCAUAAGUGGAGCGUCAG